CGGGAAGUAGCUGAGACAGACUAGCACCGCUCUGAAAAAGCGGAGACGCGGAUGCAAGCGCCGCCUUCCCGGCCA
rnacentral:tRNA from 1 species